rnacentral:rRNA from 1 species
ACGGGAGGCAGCAGUGGGGAAUAUUGCGCAAUGGGCGAAAGCCUGACGCAGCAACGCCGCGUGAGGGAUGACGGCCUUCGGGUUGUAAACCUCUUUCAGCUCCGACGAAGCCUUCGGGUGACUGUAGGAGCAGAAGAAGCACCGGCUAACUACGUGCCAGCAGCCGCGGUAAUACGUAGGGUGCGAGCGUUGUCCGGAAUUAUUGGGCGUAAAGAGCUCGUAGGCGGCCUGUUGCGUCUGCUGUGAAAGCCCGGGGCUCAACCCCGGGUCUGCAGUGGAUACGGGCAGGCUAGAGUUCGGCAGGGGAGACUGGAAUUCCUGGUGUAGCGGUGAAAUGCGCAGAUAUCAGGAGGAACACCGGUGGCGAAGGCGGGUCUCUGGGCCGAUACUGACGCUGAGGAGCGAAAGCGUGGGGAGCGAACAGGAUUAGAUACCCUGGUA